UGGGGAAUUUUGGACAUGGGCGAAAGCCUGAUCCAGCAAUGCCGCGUGCAGGAUGAAGGCCUUCGGGUUGUAAACUGCUUUUGUACGGGAACGAAAAAGCUUCCCCUAAUACGGGAAGGCCCAUGACGGUACCNUNANAAUAAGCACUCGGCUUAACUACGUG
rnacentral:rRNA from 1 species